UAUGGCCGCGCCACCCCGAGCGCGCCCGAUCUCGUCAGAUCUCGGAAGCAAAGCAGGGUCGGGCCUGGUUAGUACUUGGGUGGGAGGAACAAACCCACAA
rnacentral:rRNA from 1 species